rnacentral:ncRNA from 1 species
AGUCUUCGGGGCAUGGUGAAAUUCCAUACCGGCGGUAAAGCCCGCGAGCGAUACAUAGUAUGUAAUGUAUCUGCAUGAUUUGGUGAAAUGACAAGGUGGUGUCCUUACAUUAAUUCCAAAGCCGACAGUAAAGUCUGGAUGAGAGAAG